UACGUAGGGCGCAAGCGUUGUCCGGAAUUAUUGGGCGUAAAGAGCUCGUAGGCGGUUUGUCGCGUCGGGAGUGAAAACCUUGGGCUUAACUCAGGGCUUGCUUUCGAUACGGGCAGACUAGAGGUAUGCAGGGGAGAACGGAAUUCCUGGUGUAGCGGUGAAAUGCGCAGAUAUUAGGAAGAACACCGGUGGCGAAGGCGGCCCACUGGAUCGGUACUGACGCUGAGGUGCGAAAGCGUGGGGAGCGAACAGG
rnacentral:rRNA from 1 species